rnacentral:tRNA from 1 species
GCCCCGGUAGCCCAAUUGGCAGAGGCGCAUGACUUAGACUCAUGAGGUUAGGGGUUCGAAUCCCUUGCGGGGCAC